UCACCUAAGAGACCUCGAGAGAACUAAACAACCAGCAGCCGUCAUCUCUUGCAAACCAUAUCCUGAGAAUGGAGGUCUUACCACCACUUGCUGAAGACGGAAAGACACAAAGAUUUCUUUUUGUUCAAUCGGAGGAUCUCUGACGAUAUUGAGGUUAAUUAUUUAUCAGAUCUAUGUUACAUUUAUUUUUUGAUGUGAGAAUUUACAAGGAGUGGAAAGAUAGAAGUGUAAUUUAACUAUUCUUCAAGGUGUAACUGUGUAAGGGAAGAAGCGUUAAAAAUACACCUGGUGACCUGGCUUAUGUGUCAUGUGAAGCUAGGAAUCCAUUAAAAGGAAUUUUCAGGUUCCUUGUGUUGCAAAUUAGGGCUAUUCAUGAGCCGAGGAGCUAGGGCAAGCUCGGGCUCGGCUCGAUUAUAAACUGAGCCAACUCAGCUUGGAUUUAAAAUCGAGCUGCAAAUCUAAGCUCGGGCUUGGCUUGGUUUGGCUCGAAUUCAAAAAGAAAAAUUAAUACAUAGAUCUCAAAGUUCAGUAGUCUAAAAUAUUAUUCGAUAGUUAGCAUAUCUAAAAUGAGUUGAGCCUUAUACAUUUCAAGAGAAAAUCAAGUUCAACAAACAAAAUAAAUUUUAAAUUUCAACGAAAUACAAUAUACGUUUAUUAGCAUGGUAUUCAAAUAUACCAUAGAUAUACAAUUACACUCAUAAAUACAUGUAAAUAAUAAUCAGUUUUUUUUGUAAUAUAUUAUAAAGUAUAUAAAAAUAGCGUACAUUAAGAGUAAAAUACUAAAAUAAUCCGAGCUAAGCCGAGCCAAGCUAAACCGAGCCAAUUUGGUUUUUACAAGCAGAGCCGAGCUAGGAUCAUUUUCUUAUCGAGCUGAGCCAGCUCGACUCGGUUUCAAACCGAGUCAUGUCGAGCGAGAUUUUUCCAAGUUUUUUGAAAAACCCUAUUGCAAAUAUUGGGCAAUAAGAUAAAGACUGCCAGAAACAAUGUCACACCCCGACCACAAAGAACAUACAAAUCGUGGCGGAAACAUCGGGGAGUGUUGUAACAGAAUCAAUUGUUUCAAAUCCAUGGCAAUUGAAGUUUCGUUUUAUUAAUCAAACAUGAAUGUUUACAUUGUUUAAACAAGAACCAAAGAGUACAUAACAUAAAUUAACUAGUUCUUGUCUCGUUUUAAGGCACUAAGGCACAGGUCCGCCUAAGUAUGUCUUGACAAGUCCUAUGCAUCAUCUCCUGAAAACACAUGUGAAAAUAGGUACGUCAGCAUAAAAAUGCCUGUGAGAUACAUUGGUUUUGUGAAAACGGAAUUCAUGACUUAUGUUUGAGAAAAUGUUUAGUCAUGAACCUUGUAUUUUGCUUUGUCUUGUAAACCAUUUGAAAACGGUAAGAUCAAAUUAUAUGUAUAAAUAAGAGAAUAAUGUAUGGUUAAAUGAAUAACCAUGUAAACUGAGUUUGUAUAAGAUAUGUUGUUUGUAAAUCAAUGUCUUGUGAAAAGUGUAUUAUUUGUA
rnacentral:lncRNA from 1 species